GACGAACGCUGGCGGCGUGCUUAACACAUGCAAGUCGUACGAGACGAUUGAAAGCUUGCUUUUGAAAGUCGAGUGGCAAACGGGUGAGUAACGCGUAGACAACCUGCCGUAAAGAUGGGGACAACAGUUCGAAAGGACUGCUAAUACCGAAUGUUGUAGAGUUUCCGCGAUGGGGAUCCUACUAAAGGUGGCCUCGUACUUGUAAGCUAUCGCUUUACGAUGGGUCUGCGUCUGAUUAGCUAGUUGGUGGGUAACGGCCGUACCAAGGCGACGAUCAGUAGCCGGUCUGAGAGGUUGAACGGCCACAUUGGGACUGAGACGNGGCCCAGACUCCUACGGGAGGCAGCAGUGAGGAAUAUUGGGCAAU
rnacentral:rRNA from 1 species